rnacentral:rRNA from 1 species
AUUGAACGCUGGCGGCGUGCCUAACACAUGCAAGUCGAGCGGUAACAGGUGUAGCAAUACAUGCUGACGAGCGGCGAACGGGUGAGUAAUGCUUCGGAAUCUGCCCAUGUAAUGGGGAAUAACCAGCCGAAAGGUUGGCUAAUACCGCAUACGACCUACGGGUGAAAGCAGGGGAUCGCAAGACCUUGCGCUAUUGGAUGAGCCGAAGUCGGAUUGGCNGUUGGUAGGGUAACGGCCUACCAAGGCGACGAUCCGUAGCUGGUCUGAGAGGACGACCAGCCACACUGGGACUGAGACACGGCCCAGACUCCUACGGGAGGCAGCAGUGGGGAAUAUUGGACAAUGGGGGCAACCCUGAUCCAGCGACGCCGCGUGUGUGAAGAAGGCCUGCGGGUUGUAAAGCACUUUUAGUGGGGAUGAAAAGCACAUGGCUAAUAUCCGUGUGUCUUGACCUAACCCAAAGAAAAGCACCGGCUAACUCUGUGCCAGCCGCC